UAAACUACACAUAAACUACACCACCACUACACAUAAACUACACAUAAACCUACAAAAGCUCCUGAUGCUGACACCGAACCCCCAACUACAACAACAGCUCGCCCCUGAACACCUGACACCACCACAAAGAAACCAACCCUGGCUCCUGUCACUACCGCCAUGGCAACACCGAGUCCACCUAUGGAGGCUCCAGCGCUGAUGUGUGGGUUAGAACCUCCUAGAGGUGGGUCUCAGCAGGGCUGGUCUGGAGUCCAUUGGUCUGGAUGCUUCCACUGCUCACCUGGCCGACCAGCUCUGCUCCUCCCACCAGGAGCAUAUGAGGACACAGUGUGGCACCCCCUGGAAUCAAGGCGGGCAGCUGUGGAAACCCUUAAGACUUGUUCAAGGAGGAAGAUCCACUCCGUAUCCUGCUCUGUCCCGAUCAAGACCCUUACUAUCGGACCAAUCACCUGGGACCAUGAUCUGGAGGGAGCUGUACCUCAUCACUUACCUGUUUCUUCUCUUCUUAUCCAUAAUGUCCCUCAAGCAUGUCUAGUGCCACCCCCCUCACUCUUUUUAUUUAGAACAUAAAAAAUGUUCUUAUUUGGAACGGGAGGAAUCCUAAAAUAAGCCUCACUACUACCCUACAAUGUCCUAGGAAAUCUGGUCGUCUUUCUUUCCCCAACUUUAAGCUAUAGUACUUUCAGAUGAGAACAUUUAAAAUCUGGCUAGACCCUACCUCCGAUGUGCCUUGGCAAAUAGUAAAAAAAAAUGCUUUGUGCUCCCCAAUCAGAAUGCAAGAUCUUCCAUUUUAUGGGACAAAGCAAAAAAAUUUGCUGUCUCACAUUGAGUCUAUAUCAAGCUCCUUGAUUGUUUUGGCAGCAAAUCCAAUAACUUCUACUCCUC
rnacentral:lncRNA from 1 species